rnacentral:rRNA from 1 species
AUUGAACGCUGGCGGCAGGCCUAACACAUGCAAGUCGAGCGGAGCGGCGGACGGGUGAGUAAUGUAUAGGAACGUGCCCGGUAGCGGGGGAUAACGUCGGGAAAGCGGCGCUAAUACCGCAUACUAUUAGAUGAGCCGAGGUCGGAUUAGCUAGUUGGUGGGGUAAAGGCCUACCAAGGCGACGAUCCGUAACUGGUUUGAGAGGACGAUCAGUCACACUGGAACUGAGACACGGUCCAGACUCCUACGGGAGGCAGCAGUGGGGAAUAUUGGACAAUGGGCGAAAGCCUGAUCCAGCCAUGCCGCGUGUGUGAAGAAGGUCUUCGGAUUGUAAAGCACUUUUGGUUGGUAAGCGUUACCUGCAGAAUAAGCACCGGCUAACUACGUGCCAGCAGCCGCGGUAAUUC